rnacentral:rRNA from 1 species
CCCGCCUCCGAAGCCUCAAGCUCGUCAACUGCCUGCCCCCGCCGCUGGAGGGGUUCACCGCGCUCACCACGCUCCUGCUGCGGGACCUGCCCUGCUCCACACCUGCGGCCGUCUACGAGGGCGUGGUCGCCGCGUGCCCGCAGCUGCGGGUUCUGCAUCUCGUCUCCUGCUCCUUCGACAAGGAUACAGCCCGUUGGGUGGUGUUCGACGCGCCCAUGUCAGAAAUCAGAGAGCUUGUCGCUGACGGCCCGUUGAUGACGGUCAAGCUCCGCUCUCUCCCCAAGCUCGAGAGCCUCACUGCCGUGGAUGCCAGGGUUCUGUUGUGCUCCGACGCCGACGUCCCUUGCCUUGCGCAUGUGAGCCUCGUCUUCUCCAUUGGACCACUGGACAACCACUCCAUUGUGAACCACUUGAUUGCGUUGUUCAUGCUCUCGUUGAAAGACGCGGCCAUCAGCUUGAGGAAUCUCAUUCUGCGCUUUACUGGGCCAGAGAUGUGGAUUCUGCCCAAUCUGAAGAAUCAGUUUUCUCUGAUGCCCAAUCUGAAGAAGCUGCUUGUUGCGGAUGUGCCAUCCUCCUGGGAUGUCUCAUGGCCGCGCAUCCUCAUCCAGGCAGCACCACUGCUGGAGAGUCUUCAUGUUCAUGUUUCCCAGUCCCAGUCCCAGUCCCAGUGCCAACAUGAGGAGGAGCCAGGUCGUCAGAAUAUCUCCUCCUACUUGCAGAUGCAGCAGCCAUCAUCAUCAUCUUCUUGGCAGCGCCACCGCCAUUUGAAGGAGCUGGUGGUUGUUGGCUUUCAGAGCACGAGCAGGAUACAUCAUCAGCUAAUGUACCUCGUGAGGUUCGCCGUGGAUACUUCGACGGCGCUGCGCCGUGUUGCGGUGUUCAAGCAUGGUCAUGUCGAGGACAAGGGGGGCCCCUGGGACUGGGAGAUGGUGAGCAAGCAAAGCACCUGGAGCAACGAGGAGAAACUUGCCGUCCUGGACUGCUGUUCGACUUCGACACCCCAAAUUGAAGUGCUGCUAGGCUGA